rnacentral:rRNA from 1 species
AGUGAACGCUGGCGGUAGGCCUAACACAUGCAAGUCGAACGGCAGCACAGUAAGAGCUUGCUCUUACGGGUGGCGAGUGGCGGACGGGUGAGGAAUACAUCGGAAUCUACCUUUUCGUGGGGGGUAACGAAGGGAAACUUACGCCAAUACCGCAUAAGACCUACGGGUGAAAGUAGGGGAUGUUCGGAACUUGCGCGUCUGAAUGUGCGGAUGUCGGAUUAGCUAGUUGGCGGGGUAAAGGCCCACCAAGGGGACUAUCCGUAGCUGGUCUGAGAGGAUAACCAGCCACCCUGGAACUGAGACACGGUCCAGACUCCUACGGGAGGCGGCAGUGGGGAACUUUGGACAAUGGGCGCAAGCCUGAGCCGGCCAUACCGCGUGGGUAAAGAAGGCCUUCGGGUGUUAAACCCCGUUUGUUGGGAAAGAAAAGCAGCGGGUGAAUACCACGCUGUUCUGACGGUACCCAAAGAAUAAGCACCGGCUAACUUCGUG